rnacentral:rRNA from 1 species
ACGCAAUAAGUAGACCGCGGGGGGAGUACGGCCGCAAGGUUAAAACUCAAAUGAAUUGACGGGGGCCCGCACAAGCGGUGGAGCAUGUGGUAUAAUUCGAUGCAACGCGAAGAACCUUACCUACUCUUGACAUACAGAGAAUUUACCAGAGAUGCUUUGGUGCCUUCGGGAACUCUGAUACAGGUGCUGCAUGGCUGUCGUCAGCUCGUGUUGUGAGAAUGUUGGGUUAAGUCCCGCAACGAGCGCAACCCCUAUCCUUAGUUGCCAGCGAUU